CCUACGGGUGGCAGCAGUGAGGAAUAUUGGUCAAUGGGCGCGAGCCUGAACCAGCCAAGUAGCGUGAAGGAUGACUGCCCUACGGGUUGUAAACUUCUUUUAUACAGGAGUAAAGUGAGGCACGUGUGCCUUUUUGUAUGUAUUUUAUGAAUAAGGAUCGGCUAACUCCGUGCCAGCAGCCUCGGUAAUACGGAGGAUCCGAGCGUUAUCCGGAUUUAUUGGGUUUAAAGGGGGCGUAGAUGGGUUGUUAAGUUAGUGGUGAAAGUUUGAGGCUCAACCGUAAAAUUGCAAUUGAUACUGGUCGCGUUGAGGAUAGUUGAGGUAGGCGGAAGUCAUGGUGUAGCGGUGAAAUGCUUAGAGAUCACGAAGAACUCCGAUUGCGAAGGCAGCCUACUAAACUGCCACUGACAUUGAGGCACGAAAGUGUGGGUAUCAAACAGGAUUAGAUACCCCAGUAGUC
rnacentral:rRNA from 1 species